rnacentral:lncRNA from 1 species
UUGUUAUCAAUGUGAUUGCUCAGAUAAUUUAUUAAUUGUUUAAUUUAUGACAAGAUUUUUGUUGGAAACAUUUUUGUGUUUAAAUAAUUUGAAAUUCUGUAAAAACAUUCAUAAUAACUAUAGUGAAUCGGUUAAGAACAAGAUUGACAGUCUUACAGUAGAAUGAAGUUGUAAAUCUUGUUUAUAAAUAGAUUGCUAGAUUAUUCCUUAAUGUCCGACAAUGUGGCAACUAUUUUGUCAAUAUUCAGGACUAGAACUUAAGAUACAUUAAAUCAGUAAGGCAGAUGCAAACAAGUGGCUGUAAUAGGAGAAAGACAUUAGUUUUGACAACAACUGGAAGUUGAUGACAUGAUGGAAGGUUUUGAAAGUUUGCAUUGCAACUUGUCACCUACAUAAUCCUAUUUACUGCAAGGGUUCUUGCUGAUGGCAAUGAACAAUAUCCAGGUAAAAUCAUAGUUAAUAGCCUCAUUUUGACCUGAUGUUUUUUAAAAGUUUGAAUAUUAUCAAUUAUUUCAGACUUCACCAUUUUGAAGACAUUAAAAUGUACUGAUAUGAAAUCCAUUUUCAUAGUUAAAUCAGAAAUCACACAAUUUAUACAAGAGUCCUCUUCUCUGGCCCUCAAUUUCAAGAAAAUUACAUUUAUGAUGCUAAAUAUUUUUCCUUUGACAUUUACAUAAAUUUGAAAUGUAUACAAUUUGAAAUCAGCUCUCCUACAUGGGUCCUAGUGGUAUGGUAAUUUUGAGCUGUUCUUAUCUUUUAUAGGCUGUUAGGUAUUUUAAGGUAUAUAAUCAGCAAUACCUUUCUCUGAAAUUGCAGACUGAAUAAAUUAUAAAACAAAUGGAAUGAUGAUUACUGCAGAAAAUUAGAAUAACCCUAUUUUCUUUAAUUUAAUCUUUGUCAGUAGACAAUGACUGUUCAUUAUUACUUUUGGAAAUUAAAGAUAGGUCUGUUUUCUUGCUUGUGAUUUCCAUAGUAAAACAAUAAUAUAUUUUUUUUAAUGUCUUUACAUUUUUUAUUUAGGCUUAAGUAAUUAAUCAUCAUUCACAUAACCUCUAUAGCUCAAUGAAAUUAAAAGCUCAAUGAAUCAAUGGCAUAAAUCAUAAAAUCAUAAAGAAGGAACUCCAUUAUAAUUCCAAUAUGUUAUACAGUCAUAGACCAAGUCUCAUACUAAUUCUAGUCAAGUGUUUUAUGCCUGAAGAUAUUUUUUAUUUUUUACUAAAUCAUGACAUAAGAC